UUCAAAUUGUCCAGGUUUCUGAUGAUACGGUCUCACCUGGAGGACUUGGAGAAGGAACCCCCAAGGUGCGCAUUUAUUUCAAGUUUUGAUAUUAUGCAAAUGAGCACUAGGGCGAGGUUUAUAACCCUGAUCUUAUAAUUUUUAUUAUUUCGGUUCAGAGUGAGAGAUCAGAGGAACGUUACUGUGAUGAUAUAUUUGGAGACACCCCUACUACAGUUCGCAAAGUGGUAAGAUUCUAACAAUUUGCCUUGUAAAUCUGUUGGGUUAUUCACAUGCGGUCUAUUUGAGAACACUUGCCAAGGAUUUCCAGUCGUACCUACUAGUCCUUUACGUGAACUCAGUAUUUGUCUCUUAAGAUUCGUGUUAGGGGCUUGCAUGUGUAACCAAAAUUAUUCCUAUGUUAUGUGGGGUUAUAUUUCCGGAGUACAAGUUUUUUGACGGUUAAUAAUUUCUGUUCUUUGUUUUUGGAACAAAUAUUAUUUAUUUCAGCAUAC
rnacentral:lncRNA from 1 species